CCUACGGGCGGCACCAGUGGGGAAUAUUGCACAAUGGGCGCAAGCCUGAUGCAGCCAUGCCGCGUGUAUGAAGAAGGCCUUCGGGUUGUAAAGUACUUUCAGCGGGGAGGAAGGCGAUAAGGUUAAUAACCUUGUCGAUUGACGUUACCCGCAGAAGAAGCACCGGCUAACUCCGUGCCAGCAGCCGCGGUAAUACGGAGGGUGCAAGCGUUAAUCGGAAUUACUGGGCGUAAAGCGCACGCAGGCGGUCUGUCAAGUCGGAUGUGAAAUCCCCGGGCUCAACCUGGGAACUGCAUCUGAUACUGGCAAGCUUGAGUCUCGUAGAGGGGGGUAGAAUUCCAGGUGUAGCGGUGAAAUGCGUAGAGAUCUGGAGGAAUACCGGUGGCGAAGGCGGCCCCCUGGACAAAGACUGACGCUCAGGUGCGAAAGCGUGGGGAGCAAACAGGAUUAGAUACCCCUGUAGUC
rnacentral:rRNA from 1 species